rnacentral:misc_RNA from 1 species
GAUGAAGAACGUAGCGAAAUGCGAUAAGUAGUGUGAAUUGCAGAAUUCAGUGAAUCAUCGAAUCUUUGAACGCACAUUGCGCCCCUUGGUAUUCCAUGGGGCAUGCCUGUUCGAGCGUCAUUACAACCCUCAGGCCCCCGGGCCUGGCGUUGGGGAUCGGCGGAGCCCCCCGUGGGCACACGCCGUCCCCCAAAUGCAGUGGCGGUCCCGCCGCAGCUUCCAUCGCGUAGUAGCUAACACCUCGCGACUGGAGAGCGGCGCGGCCACGCCGUAAAACGCCCAACUCUUCUGAAGUUGACCUCGAAUCAGGUAGGAAUACCCGCUGAACUUAAGCAUAUCAAUAAGCGGAGGA